ACGCCGCGUGAGUGAUGAAGGUUUUCGGAUCGUAAAGCUCUGUUGUUAGGGAAGAACAAGUGCGAGAGUAACUGCUCGCACCUUGACGGUACCUAACCAGAAAGCCACGGCUAACUACGUGCCAGCAGCCGCGGUAAUACGUAGGUGGCAAGCGUUGUCCGGAAUUAUUGGGCGUAAAGGGCUCGCAGGCGGUUUCUUAAGUCUGAUGUGAAAGCCCCCGGCUCAAC
rnacentral:rRNA from 1 species